rnacentral:rRNA from 1 species
UCAACUUGAGAGUUUGAUCCUGGCUCAGAACGAACGCUGGCGGCAGGCUUAACACAUGCAAGUCGAACGCCCCGCAAGGGGAGUGGCAGACGGGUGAGUAACGCGUGGGAAUCUACCGUGCCCUGCGGAAUAGCUCCGGGAAACUGGAAUUAAUACCGCAUACGCCCUACGGGGGAAAGAUUUAUCGGGGUAUGAUGAGCCCGCGUUGGAUUAGCUAGUUGGUGGGGUAAAGGCCUACCAAGGCGACGAUCCAUAGCUGGUCUGAGAGGAUGAUCAGCCACAUUGGGACUGAGACACGGCCCAAACUCCUACGGGAGGCAGCAGUGGGGAAUAUUGGACAAUGGGCGCAAGCCUGAUCCAGCCAUGCCGCGUGAGUGAUGAAGGCCUUAGGGUUGUAAAGCUCUUUCACCGGAGAAGAUAAUGACGGUAUCCGGAGAAGAAGCCCCGGCUAACUUCGUGCCAGCAGCCGCGGUAAUACGAAGGGGGCUAGCGUUGUUCGGAAUUACUGGGCGUAAAGCGCACGUAGGCGGAUAUUUAAGUCAGGGGUGAAAUCCCAG